CAUGGCAUAGGAUAGGAAGAUGAGAGGAGAAUCCCAAUGCGUCCUGUACCUUUAAGGAGCGAAAGCAGCAGGACGAAAGUCCUCUUCCUUCCCUCCCUCCCACCCUCCCUUGCCCUGGCUCCAGGAGCCAAUCAGAAGCCUCUGGGAAGCAAGGCAGCAUGGCCAGGAGGGAGACGGAAGGAAGGAAGAAACGGCAGAAGCCACGGAAGGUUUUUCAAGCCUCGGCUGGGGGACAGGGAUCAUGUCCGGAAGGAUGGCAAUAUCUAAAACUUGUCAUUUCAAGUAACUGAAAUAACCAAAACUACGCAUGUAUAUAUAAAAUCCAAACCUACAGAUUGAAAAUAUGAAAAAAGAACAAAAAAGCUUAGACCCUUUUUUGAUAUGUAAAAAAGAUUCUUUACUAUUUGCUAUACUGUUUGUUACUAUUUGUUACUUCCAGAGCCUGUGGCAUGGCUCAUUUUUGUUUUUGUAUAUUAUUAUUUCCUUUUUUUAAACUUUCCCCAUUUUUCCUUGUUCACUUACCCUCCCCACGGCCCCCCACUCCUUUCCUCUUCCACAUAGUCUGUAUACAAUGUUUUAUUAUAUUAAAAAAAUUUUUUGUUGUUGUUAUAAGAAUUGUAUCAAAGUUGCUUACAAACCUUACAAAAAAAUGAUAUUAUUAAAAAAAUCUUUAAUAUUAUAAUUAUUAUUAUGUUUAUUUAUACCCUGCAGUUAGGAAGUAGUAACGAAAAAAUUUUAUGGUUGGGGGUCACCACAACACGAGGAACUGUACUCAGGAGUCAUGGUAUGAGAAAUGUUGAGAACCACUGGUCUAGGGACUAAAAGGUCAUAACCAGCACUUGAAUUGUGCUCCAAAACAGACUGGCAGCCAGUGGGGCUGCUGCAUGCAAUAGGGGGGUUGCCUGUUCCCCCCAGCCAGCUCCAGUUAGUAACCUGGUUGUAGCUCUUGAGACCAGACCCCCUCUGGCCUGUUUUAUCGGCCAGGAAGGGCAAGGUUCUUGUGAAGGGGCAAAGACGCAAAAAGUACUCCUUUUAAUCCAAAGUUAAGAACAGGAGAGGGCGGGGAAGGACACCACGAAAGUUGGAUCUUCAAACUGCAAAAAGCUGUUCAUUGCAUGGCCAAAGCAAUAACGACAAAAAUGCAUACAGGAAUGCAAUCAAAGGUUUUGUCGCAACCUGAAAAGGGUUGCAAGGUUUUUUUUAUCACUAUUACAGAAGAUAGAAGAACAUUCUUAUUGGCUUAAAAAGAUCAUUUACCCCAUUUGUCUAAUACUGACUACAUCACAAGCAUCUUUACUAUCAUGCAAUUCCACUGGUUUUCUUUGUUCUAACAACAUGUGACUCCUUAGACAAUGGUGCUUUCAUGUUAUUGACCCUGAUCUCAGCACCUGCUUCUCUACUUCUGUUGCAAGCAUCAGUCCCAAAGGGCUGGGAACCUGAUGUCCUGUUAUCCUUGAAAAGUAACUUCCUUUCUGCAACAACUCUUUUUCCAGACAUGA
rnacentral:lncRNA from 1 species